GUCGCUUCUUGGUCUUUUGGCUAAGAUCAAGUGUAGUAUCUGUUCUUGUCAGUUUAAUAUCGUCUCUCUUAGCAACUUUCAAAAAUACGGUACACUCU
rnacentral:snRNA from 1 species